AUGGGGAUGUGGUUAGUCUGGUGCAUGGCGGUCCUGUGCUUCUUGGGAGCAAUAUAUGCUCUCUAUGCACUGGAGCAGUUUUACAUUGCAGGCAGUGGAGCUCUCUCCAAAUGGGCUGAUAUAAAAUCACUCAUGUUAUCUCAUGAGACAGAGAUGGGGAUGUGCAUAGUCUGGUGUGCAGCCAUGUAUCUCUUGGGAGCAAGCCAAACCGAUGCUAAAAUAAUGCAAACACCGAGUCUGGUGCUGGAGAGAGGACAGACUGCCUAUCUCAGAUGUCAGCAAACCUAUGGGCAUGACAGCAUGUUCUGGUACCGGCAGGACCCAGGGCAGGGACUGCAGCUGCUCUUUAACUUCUACUAUAAAGAAGAAAGAGAGAAAGGCACAAAUUCUAGUCACUUCCAGGCCGACCAGCCGCAGGAUGAUCUCUUUCGCUUGAACAUCUCAUCUGUGCAGCCAGAGCACUCGGCUGUGUAUUUCUGCGCCAGCAGCUCAGACACAGCGCUUCAGAGUCACCUCCUCCCUCUACAAAAACCUCAUCUGUUCUUUGUCUCUCUGCAGCCACACCACAGGGACAGCAACAAGGCACAUUCUCUGUGA